rnacentral:rRNA from 1 species
AUUGAACGCUGGCGGCAGGCCUAACACAUGCAAGUCGAGCGGAUGAGGGGAGCUUGCUCCCUGAUUUAGCGGCGGACGGGUGAGUAAUGCGUAGGAAGCUGCCCGAUAGAGGGGGAUACCAGUUGGAAACGACUGUUAAUACCGCAUAAUGUCUACGGACCAAAGUGUGGGACCUUCGGGCCACAUGCUAUCGGAUGCGCCUACGUGGGAUUAGCUAGUUGGUGAGGUAAUGGCUCACCAAGGCGACGAUCUCUAGCUGGUUUGAGAGGAUGAUCAGCCACACUGGAACUGAGACACGGUCCAGACUCCUACGGGAGGCAGCAGUGGGGAAUAUUGGACAAUGGGCGCAAGCCUGAUCCAGCCAUGCCGCGUGUGUGAAGGAGGCCUUCGGGUUGUAAAGCACUUUCAGCGAGGAGGAAGGGUGGUGUGUUAAUAGCACAUCAUUUUGACGUUACUCGCAGAAGAAGCACCGGCUAACUCUGUGCCAGCCGCCGCCGUAAUAC